rnacentral:rRNA from 1 species
AGCGAACGCUGGCGGUAGGCUUAACACAUGCAAGUCGAGCGGGCGUAGCAAUACGUCAGCGGCAGACGGGUGAGUAACGCGUGGGAACAUACCUUUUGGUUCGGAACAACACAGGGAAACUUGUGCUAAUACCGGAUAAGCCCUUACGGGGAAAGAUUUAUCGCCGAAAGAUUGGCCCGCGUCUGAUUAGCUAGUUGGUGAGGUAAUGGCUCACCAAGGCGACGAUCAGUAGCUGGCUGAGAGGAUGAUCAGCCACAUUGGGACUGAGACACGGCCCAAACUCCUACGGGAGGCAGCAGUGGGGAAUAUUGGACAAUGGGCGCAAGCCUGAUCCAGCCAUGCCGCGUGAGUGAUGAAGGCCCUAGGGUUGUAAAG